UACAGAGGGUGCGAGCGUUGUCCGGAAUCACUGGGCGUAAAGGGCGCGUAGGUGGCGACCCAAGUCGAUGGUGAAAGCUCGUCGCUCAACGACGAGUCGGCCACCGAUACUGGGUUGCUCGAGCACUGUAGAGGCAGAUGGAAUUCCGGGUGUAGCGGUGGAAUGCGUAGAGAUCGGGAGGAACGAUCAGUGGCGAAGGCGGCCAUCUGGGACAACACGUGACGCUG
rnacentral:rRNA from 1 species